AACCUAAUAUGUAUGUUAUAUAAUAUAUAUAUACAUCGUAAUAUACAUAUGUAACCUAGCUAAUAAACCGAAACGAAUAAACUACUGUGCUGUACUAUGUUUCGUUCGUAUAGUAGGAGGUUAGAUUCAGAUAAACGAAUUGAAGCAGCAAAAGUUCAGAUUCUAGAGCAGAUCGACUCGAAAGAAUGGGAAUGAUUUACACGUAAGAAGGAAUAAUAAUGGAGGAAGAUUUUUGUGCGUAGAGAAUAAGAACGAAGUGAGGUAGAAAGAAGAGGAACCUUAUCGCAGAAAGCGGAACCAUUUCUCGUUGCUCUUCGACAUCUCGUUCGCUCGACGAUUUCCUUAUUGUUUGUAUAAUCGAUAAAUUGUGCGCCUAGGGGAAUACAUACGGGAUGCUUCACGGUGUAAAAACCGCGUAAUCUACUGCCGUUCGUGGGCGGGGCGGGUAUCGAGCAAGAGCCAGCAACGAGACAGACUCGGAAGACUAUAAAUCUCACGAUACAACUUCGACUUCCGGUUUCCCUGUCUUUCCACAACACGUCGAUUCCUAAUUCAUUUGAAACUUCCCAGAAAGUUCGACGAUAAUUUCAAUGACUCACUUAUCCAGCUGUCCUAGUAUAUUCUAAGAAAUGAGAAAAGGAAUUAUUCCACAGAAUCGUUCUGAAUAAUAAAAUUAUGUACCUUUGUAAGAUACCAGGAAGAAAACUUUGAUAUUAUAAAUGAUUUUAUAAUACACAUGUUACACUGUUUCAAAUAAUUAGAGAAUU
rnacentral:misc_RNA from 1 species